AGAGCGAACGCUGGCGGCAGGCUUAACACAUGCAAGUCGAGCGGGCGUAGCAAUACGUCAGCGGCAGACGGGUGAGUAACGCGUGGGAACAUACCUUUUGGUUCGGAACAACACAGGGAAACUUGUGCUAAUACCGGAUAAGCCCUUACGGGGAAAGAUUUAUCGCCGAAAGAUUGGCCCGCGUCUGAUUAGCUAGUUGGUGAGGUAAUGGCUCACCAAGGCGACGAUCAGUAGCUGGUCUGAGAGGAUGAUCAGCCUCACUGGGACUGAGACACGGCCCAGACUCCUACGGGAGGCAGCAGUGGGGAAUAUUGGACAAUGGGCGCAAGCCUGAUCCAGCCAUGCCGCGUGGAUGAUGAAGGCCCUAGGGUUGUAAAGUCCUUUUAACGGGAAGAUAAUGACGGUACCCGUAGAAUAAGCCCGGCUAACUUCGUGCCAGCAGCCGC
rnacentral:rRNA from 1 species